GAAGAAGAAGAGAGCCAAUGUGGGCUGAACCCGGACCCCGGACCGCCCUGAUGCAGGUCCGCUGGUCGGUGUCCACGAGUGUUCGCGAGCGGCUCGCAUUUCUGCGUCCGCCCGCUCAGGAGUCCUCAGCGGGCACGCGCGUCUCUGUGUGAUGCGCUCACGAUGCCGCUCGCUCCCGCGAACCAGGCCCAGCUGAUUCGGUCCUGUCAGAAGGACGACUACUACCGAACGGUUCUGAGAAACAAUGCAAACGAGGCUGUUCAGACACUGGCAGGAUCCAGACUCUGGCUGCACUGGAGGAAGGAGGUGGAGCUUCUGUCUGACGUGACUUACCUUAGUCUGACCACACUCUCAGGUUUUCAGACGUUGGGGGAGGAGUAUGUCAACAUCGUGCAGGUGGACCCCUCCAAACGGCAGAUUCCCUCCCGGGCCAGGCGCAGUCUCUUUGUCCUGUUCCAUGCCUUCUUUCCGUACCUGCUGGACAAGCUGCUGGUGUGUCUGGAGAACGAGCUGGAAGGCAGUCAGGAUGGCAGGCGGCGGGCAGCAUCGGCUGGGUGGGGCCUAAGCUGCUGGCUGAGGCUGUGGGUGCAGAGGGGGGUGUGCCUACUGACAGGGGAGCAGAGGAGGGUGUGGCUUUCAGCUGUGGGCAUCGCACAGCAGACUGUGGCGCUUGUGCACCGCCUCCACACCACCCUCUUCUACCUCAGCAGCUCCUUCUACCACCUGUCAAAGAGAGCGGCUGGAAUCAGCUACCUGCGGGUGGAGGGCCUACGCGGGGACGACGCCUCAAUCAGGACAACCUACAGGCUGCUGGCUGCUGUUUCGCUCCUGCAGCUGCUCGGCAGCGUGGCUCUGCAGGUGGGCAGCUUCAGGCAGAGACAGAGAGCCCGGCAGGAGUGGAAGCUCUUCAGAAGCCUCAGUCCUGAUCGCCCUCAGAGCCCCGCCCCUUCUGCCGCCCGCUGCAUCCUCUGCCUGGAGGCCCGGAGGAACUCCACCUGCACACCCUGUGGACACCUGUUCUGCUGGGAGUGCAUAACUGAGUGGUGCAACACCAAGGCCGGAGAUCUACCGUCCCAUCCUUUUGACAUCAUGAGCACCCCUGAUGCAGAACCUUCUCUGACCAGGAUGAAAAAGUUGCAGCAAGAAGAGAAGCAACUUGUCCUAUGACUGUUAUCUCUGCAGAAACUCCUCCAGCUCCUCACUAAACUGUGGUUACCCAGCAGACAUUUCCAAACUUCUUCGUGAUUCCUGCUUUUUCUGAUUCAUGCUCAGAAAAAACUCAGAGCUACAGCCUCUCCUCCCUUUGGUUCUCCUCCUCUCUUUGGUCUGUGGAAGGUCUGUCUCUAUUCACACAGAAGUGAAUCACACCAGAGGUCAUCUGAAAGUGGACCAGGAACCAAACCUAACUAAGGAAAUGAUACCUUAGCAAGUGAUGAACACCCCACCCCAUUUCAUCCCCACCCACAGCCAUGCCCCCACCCCAUGCUUAGAAGAGACCCUGUUUAACCUGUGAUCAGGUUCACAGAGUUACGUUUUCUGACUUCAAGCACGGUCUCGCUACUUUGAACUUUUUCAACACUGGCAUCAUUACCAUGGCAACACCAUGCAGGGUGGGACAGUAAACUUUUUACAAUACACAGUUUUCCUACAGCCCUGAAGGUACUGAGUUUUCAGAGUUAGAUUUACUGAGGCUUAAAUAAAACUCUAAGCCCCUGGAACCGUGACGAGGACUCACCUAUUGAGAUCUGAACCACCGGGAACGCUGCCAUGACGAUCAGCAGGAGCCCUGUAGAGAGGGCAGGAAGCGUCAGUGGCCAUACCUGCUUCAUCUGGGUCUGAGUCUUCCUGGACCUACCUGCAACAAGCACACCUGCACUGAGAGCACAGCUCGCAAAGUCCCACCUGCCUGCCAUCACUGAUGAAUACCAGGCUGCGUCCCACACAAAUGUGCUCAGAGCUCAUUACAACACCACAGCUGCAAGCUCGGGGCUUCCUCUGUUGAGUAACCGCCUCACAAACCCAUCCCCCAAUGUGAGGCAGACCUGAUGAAGAUGAAGGUUUCCUAACAGGAUAGAGAAGGGUUUUUUGGGGGACGUUUCGUGUGCUCAGCAGUUGGAGGCAGGAAUUCCUGUGGAGGAAUGAGACAGCCGAAGGAAUCUCCACAGAAACAGGGAAGCCACUUUCCAAAAUGUAGAUUCCUCACAGGGGUGUGUUUAUUUUCCUAUUGUGUUCCGAUGUUUGUUUUCCCCAGAUAUUUUUGAUCAACCAGUGUUCUCACCAAGCCCCCACCUGCUGCGAUAGGCUGUUCCUCCAGUGACCACUGGAGGCUGAAUACCAGCUGAUGAGGGUGGCUGGGCGCUCCUGGACGCCUCCCUGGGGAGGUGUACAGCGCAUGUCCCACUGGGCAGAGGCCCCGGGGAAGACCCAGGACACGUUGGAGAGAGACUAUGUCUCCCAAGUCCGGGAUAAGCGGAGGAAGAUGGAUGGAUGGAUAUCCAUCACUGGUUCUCAAAAAAAGUGCAACAAAUAUGGUGCACCAAAAGUAAGUGUCCAGAAAUUAAGAGACGUGUGAAGAAAUAGAACACACAAGAACCAAAA